rnacentral:rRNA from 1 species
GACGAACGCUGGCGGCGUGCUUAACACAUGCAAGUCGAACGGAAAGGCCCUGCUUUUGUGGGGUGCUCGAGUGGCGAACGGGUGAGUAACGCGUGAGUAACCUGCCCUUGACUUUGGGAUAACUUCAGGAAACUGGGGCUAAUACCGGAUAGGAGCUCCUGCUGCAUGGUGGGGGUUGGAAAGUUUCGGCGGUUGGGGAUGGACUCGCGGCUUAUCAGCUUGUUGGUGGGGUAGUGGCUUACCAAGGCUUUGACGGGUAGCCGGCCUGAGAGGGUGACCGGCCACAUUGGGACUGAGAUACGGCCCAGACUCCUACGGGAGGCAGCAGUGGGGAAUAUUGCACAAUGGGCGGAAGCCUGAUGCAGCAACGCCGCGUGCGGGAUGACGGCCUUCGGGUUGUAAACCGCUUUCGCCUGUGACGAAGCGUGAGUGACGGUAAUGGGUAAAGAAGCACCGGCUAACUAUGUG